rnacentral:rRNA from 1 species
AAAAACAUCGCCUUUGGGCUCUAAUCAAAGGUCCUGCCUGCCCGGUGAUCUAAAAAGAUUAAACGGCUGCGGUAUUCUGACCGUGCAAAGGUAGCAUAAUCAUUUGCCUGUUAAUUCCAGGCUGGCAUCAACGGCUAGACGAAGGAAAUACUGUCUCUCAUUAUAUUUUUUGAAAUUAGUUUUCUGGUGAAGAAACCGGAAUACAAAAGUGGGACGAGAAGACCCUAUUGAGCUUUAAUCCUAAAAUAUUAUAAUUAAUAAUAGAGGGUUUUAGUUGGGGCAACUGAUUUUUUAAUAAGACAAAAUCUUAGUAGAUGAAUUAAAUCUAAGAGAGACCCAUGGUUUUCGUGGAAAAAGAAAAAGUUACCAUAGGGAUAACAGCGUAAUUUUCUUUGAGAGUACAUAUUGACAAGAAAGUUUGCGACCUCGAUGUUGGAUCAAGAUAUCCUGAAGGUGCAGCCGCUUCAAGGGUGGGUUUGUUCAACCUAUAAAAUCUUACGUGAUCUGA